AGCAGCCGCGGUAAUUCCAGCUCCAAUAGCGUAUAUUAAAGUUGUUGCAGUUAAAAAGCUCGUAGUUGAACUUCGGGGUCUACCCAUUGGUCAGGCUUAAUUGUCUGCACUGGUGAGAUGGAUCUCUACCUUCUGAGGAACUUUCAUGCCAUUUAUUUGGUGUGAUGGGAAAUCAGGACUGUUACUUUGAAAAGAUUAGAGUGUUUAAAGCAGACUAUCGUCUGAAUACUA
rnacentral:rRNA from 1 species